AGAAGGAACAAAUGGAGGAAAAGUUGGCUGUAGGAGCUGGUGUUUUGCUGCUGCCUUCAGCUUCAUAAUGAAACGAUGAAUGACACUUACCUGUGGUCGGACUGUGUGAUCCGGUAAGUACUUCUGUAGCUCUGUGUCCAGUUCGGUAACAGCGUAUGAACUUCGUUCAAGGUCAUAAUGGUUUUACAGUACCGGUGAUCUAGGUCCAUUAGCAUUUCCAGUAGUAAUAGCCCAUUAGCGCUGCUUGUCUUUGACGUUUCUCCCAGUGUCUGUAGCGCUGUGUCUGGUUCGGCAUCAGCUGUGCUGCUUAGAGUUCGGUGCGGUGGUAACAGCCACACUGAACUUAAUUACCACCGACACCGGACCGCCAUGGACCUGGUCGAUUGGUGACGUCAAUACCGCAGGCGGUAUAGGUCCUGUUAGCAUCUCAAAGAGCAUCCAGCUCUGCCUGUCUCAGCGGCAGCACGGCAUUUAUUUUUAGCUCGUUAAGGUAGCCAUCACCUUAACGCUACCUUAACGUUGGCUGUUAGAGCCUUCGUUGGCUCUGCUGGUAUAAAUGGCUCAAAGUGUUGUGGAGAAAUGUCCAGGGUCCAGAUUAGGUACUUCGUUGUGUUCCGCUCCGGCUCUCGCACUGCGCUCUCCUUUCUUUCAUGUCGGAAAUUAUCCAGAUUUUUUUUCUCAAUUCUUAUUUUUUAUCACGGCCGAUAGUGACACAGUGUGCCAUUAUCUAAAAUGACACCAGUCAAACGCAAUAUCAUAAACAGCUACUGGGGUAAAGGUAGCUUUCCUGUGUUUACUCUGUAGACUCCGGUACAGAAUGGACCAUUAUGCGUUAUCAACCCAGCGGUGAAAAAAUGGUGACCUCCACGGGUGAAAAAUAUAACAAAAGACUACAUUUUUGAAGUAAUUUUGAGUUUUGGCAUAUCAAAAAGCUGCGACAGAACCUGAGCAGGAAACCUAGACCAGGUGACUAAUGGACACAGAAGGAAAUAAACAGGAAGCAAAAUGGUCUUCUAAACGCU